GAUUAACGCUGGCGGCGUGCAUAACACAUGCAAGUCGAACGAUGAAACCUAGUAGACUUCUUCGGAAAGACACUAAGCGGAUUAGCGGCGCACGGGUGAGUAACGCGCGAGUAACCUGCCUUACACAAGGGGAUAGCCUUUGGAAACGAAGAAUAAUACCCUAUAAAACCAUAAAAGCACAUGCUAGAAUGGUCAAAGUGAUAGCGGCGUAGGAUGGACUUGCGUCUGAUUAGCUGGUUGGUGAGAAAAAAGCUCACCAAGGCAACGAUCAGUAGCGGGCUGGGGGGAGGGCACGGCCCCAUGGGAACUGGGACACGGCCCAGACUCCUACGGGAGGCAGCAGGGGGGAAUUUUGCACAAUGGGGGAAGCCCUAAUGCAGCGACGCCGCGUGAUUUAGAAGGCCUUCGGGUUGUAAAAAUCUUUCGUAUAGGAAGAAAAUGACAGUACUAUACGAAUAAGGUCCGGCUAAUUACGUG
rnacentral:rRNA from 1 species